CACCUAAAAUAAAUUCAUUCCAGAAUGUGCUGAAAGAUUGGACCAGAAUAUACAUAUGCAUAAAUAUAUGUACGUUAUGAUUCACUACUUGAAUCACAUUUUCAGAGUCAGAACCAGUCAGAACAGCCUGGAACAGUCAUAGCCGGUUGUAGUCGGUGUCCUGAAGGUUACAGGAAAGUUGAGGAAAGUACUGCAGUGACUUGGGAGUUAAAAGAUAUUUCAGAUUAUUGUCUGUUUUUUUUAUUUUAGACUUUUAUACUAACUGAAAAAAAAUUAUAAACUAAAGACAAGGUGAAUCACAAGUUUGUUAAUAAGAGAGGUUAAAAGAUUUUUUAAGACAAUGGGAGAUAAUACAUUGCCCGAUGACGAUACCAUUACAUUGGUCCUUUGUGAUAAUCGUAUUUUGGCAUCCAAAAAAAAACUGGCUCGUAAGAGUCGCUAUUUUCAAUGUUUAUUCUCUAAGAAGUUCUGUGAUUCUACUCAAAAGGAAUUUGACAUUAAUUAUGAUUUCCAGCCGGGAACAUUACAGGAUUUUGUUGAUUGGACAAGUAGCAAUGAAACAACGCAAUUCGAUGAUGGUCACACUAUUAACAAAAGUUUAUUAAAAUAUGUCCAUGGAUCAUUUACACCUCUUUUGACUUUAUUAGAACUUGGUUUUACCUUUAUGGUGGACAGUUUCAUCAGCGAUGUAAUGGACGUAUUAAUCCACCAUUGGUUGGAGCCUGAAAUAGUAAUCGAUCUCUGGUUAUUAACUCAGGAAAUGAAUUACACAAAACUGAAAGAUGUUGCAUUUGCCGCUUGCCUAGACAGAUUUAUGGAAAUUCCAAUGAAUGCUCUGUUAAAGUUACCAAAAGAAAAAUUUCUACAGCUGAUUAGAAAUGUUAAUAUUAGAUCUACAGCCAAUCAUUUACACUCUGUGACAAAAGCAUGGAUUGAAAAGAACAAUGACGGAGAGAAUUUGACGAGUGAAAUUUCGAAUCGAACAGAACGUUUGAAAAAGGCGAAGGAACCUGUCAUAAGAUACAAGGACACUUCAGGGCAACUUUAUAAAGAAGGCCGUUAUGGCUAUGUAUCUGCUGGAAAUUGCGAGUGGAGUUCAUACGAUCCAUUUAGAAAUGAAGAAAUGGCAUUUGCAUGUUCAUUAUUUUUGGAACCUGUAGUAGUGGAUGUAUGCCUAGAAUCAACAGACAUAGACAUAUUGUCUUUGGAAAUUACUUCUGAAAAUUUGAAGAACAAGGAGAGAUGGAAUCUUUAUUACUGGGAUUAUAAGAAAUCGUGUACUGUUACAUAUGAGUUGAACAAUAUAACAGUUCCAUUUGAGAAAAUCAAGGGAAUGGAAGUUGUAGGACGAGGAUUUAGUAUAUAUUUUGUUGGCGGAGUAUACGAUUCCAGCCGUUCGGAUUUGGAAAAAUUUAAUAUGGAUAUCUGGCGAUAUUGUACAUUGUCCGAGAAGUUAUACUAUGUGGCAAGACUGCCUCGUCCCCGUAAAGAUAUGCUAGCCUUUUUCAUGGCAAACAAAUUAAUGUUAUUGGGUGGUUUGGGAGAGAAGAAAACAGUACUUACGACUAUAGACGUUCUAAAUAUACAUACAGGAGAAUGGACACAAGCUGCGGAUAUUCCAAACCCACCACUUCCUUUUGAAAAAGUUGGAGGUCCUCCUGGGAUUCAGAGCUAUGUUUAUACGUAUCACCAAUGUGAUAAUAAAUGGUCAUCAUCUGAAGGUAUUCCCUCUAUGUACCUGAUAAUGAGCUUUAUACCAAAUGAAUUUUAUGUGGGUGCCAAUGAGUACGAAUGGCCUUCAACUGCUCGUCUUCUAAUGACCAGAGAACGUUUCGGGAAUUAUGGGACUAGUACAGUGCAUCCUACUGCGAGCAUACCAUAUUGGCAGGAUACUUACUACUUAAAUCUUACAAAAAGUGCAAUUUAUGAUGUACUUCUAAAUGAAGAAGGUGUCCCAGAAAAAUGCGUUACAGAAGAAUUUGGGAAGAAGGAGCUGAAAUAUCCUACACGGAACGUAAAAAUUCUUAACCCUGCCUCUUUGUAUCGUCAAGUUACACAUUAAUUGAAAAUGUAUAAGUCCAGGUGUACUGCAUGAUCUGCAGUGUUGGUUAUGUGUACGUCAAGUAAUCGUGUACCGUUGUUUAUAUGUAAUGAGGACAUAUAUAAUUUUAUUCUAUCGCAUAUUAUGAAGAGAAGGCAGUUAGUUAAGUCUGCAUCGCCUGCGUGGAACGUAUCCGGCGUUUCUAUCGAAACUAAUGGUGCCGAACCAUUGUUUCUGCAAUUACAUAGGCAAGUUUGGAAUAACCUUGCAACUUGCAAAAUCUUACUAUAAGUGUAGUUACAGCUACCAGAUAAAUCUUCUAUUUUACAGUGCUUCAUAUAAUUCAUAUUCCACCUCAUAUGGUUAAUAUUACCAUUCCAAAUGUUGAUCACUUCUGCACCAUUUAAGCGCAGCACCAUGGAUACAGUACCUAUCGACAAGAUGAUCGGUUUUAAGUGGGUUCUCAAACAAGGAAGGUAGAAUAGAAGUACGUCCAGGAGUACCGCGAAGAGUCCAACGUCACUUGGGGACCAAUUGCGAGUAAACGACGACUUU